UUUAAUUGAAGAGUUUGAUCAUGGCUCAGAUUGAACGCUGGCGGCAGGCCUAACACAUGCAAGUCGAGCGGCAGCACAGAGAAACUUGUUUCUCGGGUGGCGAGCGGCGGACGGGUGAGUAAUGCCUGGGAAAUUGCCCUGAUGUGGGGGAUAACCAUUGGAAACGAUGGCUAAUACCGCAUGAUAGCUUCGGCUCAAAGAGGGGGACCUUCGGGCCUCUCGCGUCAGGAUAUGCCCAGGUGG
rnacentral:rRNA from 1 species